UGGGAAAUCGGGAUCACCCGCCACUCAAUUGCAUGGUUGACCCGAAUUCGACUGGGGCCGGUGGUUCAAGUCCACCCGUAGCCACCA
rnacentral:tRNA from 1 species